rnacentral:rRNA from 1 species
GAGUUUGAUCUUGGCUCAGGACGAACGCUGGCGGCGCGCCUAACACAUGCAAGUCGAACGGAGCUAUUUUGGAAGAACCCUUCGGGGGGACUCUGGCUUAGCUUAGUGGCGGACGGGUGAGUAACACGUGAGCAACCUGCCUCUCAGAGGGGGAUAACGUUUGGAAACGAACGCUAAUACCGCAUGACAUAUCGAGGCCGCAUGGCUUUGGUAUCAAAGGAGCAAUCCGCUGAGAGAUGGGCUCGCGUCCGAUUAGAUAGUUGGCGGGAUAACAGCCCACCAAGUCGACGAUCGGUAGCCGGACUGAGAGGUUGAUCGGCCACAUUGGGACUGAGACACGGCCCAGACUCCUACGGGAGGCAGCAGUGGGGGAUAUUGCACAAUGGGCGAAAGCCUGAUGCAGCGACGCCGCGUG